GUCGGGGUAGCCAAGUGGCAAAGGCGCGGGCCUCCUGAGUCUGUGGAUGUAAAUCCUUUAGGGGUUCGAUUCCCCUCCCCGGCA
rfam:Caenorhabditis remanei strain PB4641 contig2.16, whole genome shotgun sequence.